UACGGGGGGGGCAAGCGUUGUUCGGAAUUACUGGGCGUAAAGGGCUCGUAGGCGGCGCAGCAAGUCAGGGGUGAAAUCCCGGGGCUCAACCCCGGAACUGCCCUUGAAACUGCAGUGCUAGAAUCUUGGAGAGGCGAGUGGAAUUCCGAGUGUAGAGGUGAAAUUCGUAGAUAUUCGGAAGAACACCAGUGGCGAAGGCGACUCGCUGGACAAGUAUUGACGCUGAGGUGCGAAAGCGUGGGGAGCAAACAGG
rnacentral:rRNA from 1 species